GGUGAGUGUGCAAGGGGCUGACUGUGUGACACGUGAGUGUGCAAGGGAGGGAAGGGGAGCGAGGUGAGGCACGUGAGUGUGCAAGGAACAGCUGAGUGAGUGUGCAAGAGGGGCCGCACGUGUGCAAGGAGUGCGUGUGAGCGCAUGACACAAGUGCGAGUGUGCAAGGGACACAUGGGAGUGGCACCUGUGUGUGUGUGUGAGCCUUGCACACGCGCGUGCGCAGGGCCGCCCUCACCCCCACACGCGCGUGUGAGCCUCGGAGGGGGGACC